CUCCCACCAGCUCCACAGAGCUGCUGGUGGUGCACCUAUGUGAGGUGGAGGAGUCUGCGUCCUGCACGCUUCUGCUGGACAUGGACAUGGUGACAGGCACCCGAUACCCCUCCAACACCUAGGGCGUCCAUGAGUGGCCUCUCCACGUGGCUCGUCUACAUCACAGCUCCUAUCACUUCAGGUCCACUGUGGCGGGCCAAGCGGACUGCAGUACUGACCGCCACUCAGCCGGGGCCCUCUUCACAGACUACCACUUCCACUUCUACAGACACUGCACCUACUGACACACACACACACACACACAGCUUUCGGUUCCAGACACUGCACCUACUGACACACACGCACACGCACGCACGCACGCACGCACACACACCUUUCACUUCUACAGACACUGUACAGACUGACUGACACACACACACACACACACACCCCACUCACCUCUACAGACACUGUACAGACACACAUCCACGCCAAUAACUGUAUGCUUAGAUUGUAUUGCUCAUGUCUGUAGGAAUUUUAAUUGGUUUAAAACGACAGCCUUUCGAAGAUGAUUGUGAAUGUGUCUCCCUUUUGAAAUCACUUACAUCUGAUCAUGGUAACUAGAUGAAUCGACUAAACUUUGAUUAAAAA